AGACAUUGCUCCAGUUACAGUGGUAGAAGUAAGAGGAACCUGGUGCUUCUGCAAACCUUCUGUCUGGGGUGGUUUAACAGUCAUGCUCCUCCCCGCCCCCCAACCUUGUCCUCGCACUGGAAAGCCCUCCGGCUGGUAGCGUAGACCUUCUGGGACCCCAUGGUCCCUGAGUAUCAUCUCUUAUCUCCGAAGACUCCAGACAUAGAAUCACUCCAUGCAACCCAGAAAGUUGAUACUGUUGGAUCCAUCGCAUCUUUCCUGCUCUGCUCUCUACAACCAGACUUCUCUAUUUCUCUGUGGAAGAAGACUAAAAAGGGUGUUUCCAAUGUGGACAUUGAAGAGACAGCUCUUUAUGCUUUUAAACAUAAUCCUAGUUUCUGAACUCCUUGGAGCUAGAUGGUUUCCUAAAACCCUGCCCUGUGAUGUCAGUCUGGAUGCUCCGAAGGCCCACGUGAUUGUGGACUGCACAGACAAGCAUUUGACAGAAAUCCCCGGAGGUAUUCCCACCAAUGUCACCAACCUCACCCUCACCAUUAACCACAUACCCAGCCUCUCUCCAGCCUCCUUCCACCAGCUAGACUAUCUGGUAGAGAUCGAUUUCCGAUGCAACUGUAUACCUGUUCGACUAGGGCCGAAAGACCAUCUGUGCCCCAGGAGGCCACAGAUUAAACCCAGAAGCUUUACUAGACUCACUUAUUUGAAAUCCCUUUAUCUAGAUGGAAACCAGCUUCUAGAAAUACCUGCGGGUCUUCCUCCCAACCUGCAGCUGCUGAGCCUUGAGGCCAACAGUAUCUUUUCUAUCAUGAAAAAUAACCUAACAGAACUGACCAACAUAGAAAGACUCUACUUGGGUCAAAACUGUUAUUUUCGCAACCCUUGUAACGUUUCGUUUUUCAUUGAAAAAGAUGCUUUCCUGAGUCUGAAAAAUCUAAAACUGCUCUCUCUAAAAGCUAACAAUAUCACCUAUGUCCCUACUACUUUGCCAUCUACGUUAACGGAACUCUAUCUUUAUAACAACGCCAUUGCAAAAAUCCAAAAAGAGGAUUUUAAUAACCUCCAUCAACUGCAACUUCUUGACCUAAGUGGAAAUUGCCCUCGUUGUUACAAUGUCCCAUUUCCUUGUACACCCUGUGAAAAUAAUUCUCCCCUCCAGAUCCACCCAUCGGCUUUCGACGGGCUGACAGAAUUACAAGUGUUACGUCUGCACAGUAACUCUCUUCAGCAUGUGCCCCAAAGAUGGUUUAAAAACAUUAAAAAGCUGAAGGAGCUAGAUCUUUCCCAAAACUUCUUGGCCAAAGAAAUUGGGGAUGCCAAGUUUUUGUAUCUUCUUCACAACCUUGUCCAGUUGGAUCUGUCCUUCAAUUAUGAACUUCAGGUCUAUCGUUCAGCUCUGAAUCUGUCAGAUGCAUUUUCGUCCCUGAAACACCUGAAAGUUUUGCGGAUCAAAGGAUACGUUUUUAAGGAGCUGAGCAGCCAUCAUCUGUCCCCGCUACGGAGUCUUUCCAAUCUGGAAGUUCUUGAUCUUGGCACUAACUUCAUAAAAAUUGCGGACCUCAGCAUAUUUGAACAAUUCAAAACAUUGAAAGUCAUAGAUCUUUCAAUGAAUAAAAUAUCACCUUCAGGAGAUUCAAGCGAAGUUGGCUUCUGCUCUAGCACCAGACCUUCUGUAGAAGGUCAAGCACCUCAGGUCCUAGAAACACUGCAUUAUUUCAGAUAUGAUGAGUAUGCAAGGAGUUGCAGGUUCAAAAACAAAGAGACUCCUUCUUUCUUGCCUUUUAAUAAAGAUUGUUACAUGUAUGGGCAGACCUUGGACCUAAGUAGAAACAAUAUAUUUUUUAUCAAGUCCUCCGAUUUUCGGCAUCUCUCUUUCCUCAAAUGCCUAAAUUUGUCAGGAAAUACCAUUGGCCAAACUCUCAAUGGCAGUGAAUUUCAGCCUUUAGUGGGCUUGAAGUAUUUGGACUUCUCAAACAACCGGCUUGAUUUACUCUACUCAACAGCAUUCGAGGAGUUGCGCAACCUGGAAGUUCUAGAUAUUAGCAGUAACAGCCAUUACUUUCAAUCAGAAGGAAUUACUCACAUGUUAAACUUUACCAAGAACCUAAAACUUCUGAAGAAACUGAUGAUGAACAACAAUGACAUCGCUACCUCCACCAGCAGGACCAUGGAGAGCGAGUCUCUUAGAAUUCUGGAAUUCAGAGGCAAUCAUUUGGAUGUUUUAUGGAGAGAUGGUGAUAACAGAUACUUGAAGUUCUUUAAGAAUCUGCUGAACCUAGAGGAAUUAGACAUCUCGGAAAAUUCCCUGACAUACUUGCCUUCUGAAGUUUUCGAUGGCAUGCCUCCAAAUCUGAAGACUCUCUCCUUGGUCAAAAAUGGGCUCAAGUCCUUCAACUGGGAAAGACUCCAACAUCUGAAGAAUCUAGAAACUUUGGACCUCAGCUACAAUGAGCUGAAGACUGUCCCCGACAGAUUAUACAACUGUUCCAGAAGCCUCAAGAAACUCAUUCUUAAGUACAAUCAAAUCAGGCAACUGACAAAGUACUUUCUACAAGAUGCUUUCCAGUUGCGGUAUCUGGACCUCAGCUCAAAUAAAAUCCAGAUUAUCCAAAAGACCAGCUUUCCUGAAAAUGUCCUCAACAAUCUGGAGAUGUUACUUCUUCAUCACAAUCGGUUUCUGUGUACCUGUGAUGCCGUGUGGUUUGUCUGGUGGGUUAACCACACAGAGGUGACCAUUCCUUACUUGGCCACAGAUGUGACUUGUGUGGGGCCAGGAGCACACAGGGGCCAGAGUGUAGUUUCCCUGGAUCUGUAUACCUGUGAGUUAGACCUGACUAACCUGAUUCUGUUCUCCCUUUCCCUGUCGGUGGCUCUUUCUCUGAUGGUGAUUACAACAGCCAACCACCUCUACUUCUGGGAUGUGUGGUAUAGCUACCAUUUCUGUAAGGCCAAGAUAAGGGGGUAUCGGCUUCUGACAUCCCUGGAUUCUUGCUAUGACGCCUUUGUGGUGUAUGACACUAAAGAUCCCGCGGUGACAGAAUGGGUUUUGGAUGAACUGGUGGCCAACUUGGAAGACCCAAGAGAGAAACAUUUCAAUUUAUGUCUGGAGGAAAGGGAUUGGUUACCCGGGCAGCCAGUUUUGGAAAACCUUUCCCAGAGCAUCCAGCUUAGCAAAAAGACGGUGUUUGUGAUGACAAACAAGUAUGCAAAGACUGAGAACUUCAAGAUAGCGUUUUAUUUGUCCCAUCAGAGGCUCAUGGAUGAAAAAGUGGACGUCAUUAUCUUGAUAUUCCUUGAGAAGCCCCUUCAGAAAUCCAAGUUCCUCCAGCUCCGGAAGAGGUUGUGUAAGAGUUCUGUCCUUGAGUGGCCAACAAACCCUCAGGCUCAGCCGUACUUCUGGCAGUGUCUGAAAAACGCCCUAGCCACUGACAAUCAUGGGACCUAUAGUCAGGUGUUCAAAGAGACGGUCUAGCCCUUCUUUGCAAAAUGGGACUUCCCACCUUACCAAGGAGAAGCUUGACUGCCUAGAUUUUCUGAUAGAUGGCUCACUCAAAGGGUGUUUUCCAAUUCUCUAAGACCAGGAUGGUCCAUACCAGAGAGGAGAGUCACAGCGACCAAGGAAUUGGAACAAGGGACUUUUUAUGUCGCAUGCAAUCAUCUUUCUUAUCCCUCUGUGACUCCGUUUGCCCUUGAGCCUCUCCUUUCUGUUCCUGGAUAGAUGAUACUGGGAGAAUGGUGGCAAGGAGAGGACACAAGGCUCCGAUUCUCUCGUUAUUCUCUUGUGAUUAUGAAAUAAACACACAGUCUCAAAGUAUGGAGAAUUGCACUUACACCCAUAACAAGUACUGGUCUGUCUAGAGAUAUGGUAAAAGGUGCUCAGGGUCUUCGCCUUUGACAUUACAUUUUUAGUAUAUGUGCUGCCAAAGCGAGCACCGCCUAUGAUAUUAUAAUGUAUCAGAGUUAGUGAAAUGAAAACACAGUCAACGCCUCACCCCACGGCUUCUGUAUCAUGCAGCGCCCCCUUCUGUGCAGACCAAGAAUUGGCUCCUGACCAGUGGUCGCCUAGGUGCCCCUCUCUCUUUGCCCUUGGGCCUGUUGCUGGGUUCCGUGGGGAGAUAGCAAAAAACAUCUUUCGUACUGAUGGACAUAGUCCAGUCACACAUGAGAAAAUUAAAGCGAUCUGGCUUUGCACAAAGUGAGGCUCUUUCCCUUCGAAGAUAACUGACCUGCUUAAAGUUGUCACAGACUGAACGUUUGUUCCCUCCCAAAUUCAGAUGUGAAAUCCUAACCCCCACGUGUGAUGGUAUCAUGGGGUGCGGCCUUUGGAAGCGGAUCGGGUCAUGAAGAGUGGAGCCCUCAGGGAUUCGAUCAGUGCCUUAUAAGAAGACAGCAGAGACCUCCUUGCUGUGUUCCCACUGUCCGGGUGUGAGGAUACAAAGACAGGUCAACAGCCCACCGCUCAGAACACGGCUCUCCCCAGAGCCAGGCGCUGCUGGCACCCUGAGCCAGGAUUUUUGUCCUUCAGAACUGUGAGAAAUAAGUAUGUGUUGUUUAAGUCACCUGGUUUAUGAUGUUUCCUUACGUAGAAGCCUGAGCGCAUUCAGAUAUUUUUAUCUGCUUUGCCAAGUUCUGUGUCCAAAGUAACAUUGCCUCAUGCAAUGGCCUUUCAGACCGCUUUGCUGACUAAUACCGUGUAUCUGUAAUUAUCUGCCAGCUUGAUUCGUCAACACGAGAUGGGUUUGAUAGUAAACUCGCAGGAGGACCCCAGGAACGUUUCUUUACUUAAUAAAUACAGUUAUCGGGCAAGGACGACAUUUCUAUGGGUUCCUUUAAACUGCAGGAAGCAGGCAGGGAGAGGAGAGACCGACGCUUCUGGACCUCACUGUUCAGAAGGCUGAGGCCUUGAAUACCCGCUUUCCUACUCAAAGGCAGCAACAGAAAGGACCAAGACAUACUGAAGACACACACACUUCCAGCUGGGUCUCAAGUCUCAGGAGUUCAACAUUUGGAACCUGAUCGCUUGGCUUUAUUUCAUGAGAGGGACUAUUUACAGAGGCUGCCUGUGGCCUUUAGAAAAUAGUGUGCAUGGGUUCAAAUCUUGGAGCAUUCGUUGGGAGACACCGACGAGUGGAGCUGCGCUUAAAUUGCAACACCCCCACCCCCGCACUGCAUUUGGAGGGAUAUACUUUAUUUACAUGGCGUUGGCUGCUCUGUUUGAGGCUAAAAUGUGAAGACAAUUUGGACAAGAACACUGACAUAUUUGGGUAGAGACGGACAAGAGAUGACAAGUAGGCAGAGAGGCAGGCAAAG